rnacentral:lncRNA from 1 species
GGCAUUUUCGCAAUUCGGCGAAGUCAUUGAAUCAAAGGUCUGUUUGUCGCGGAGAUCUGAUACGACCCGUUGUUUCUCUCUGAUCUGUUAACCUUGUUACUCUGUUACUACUGUUACUCUGUUACCACUGUUACUGUUUCUGUUACUGUUACUCUUUUACCUCACCCCUGAUACGGUACGUUCCGUCUUCCUCUUUCUCACAAAAAGGGUCGAAGAUUGAAUUGUCGCUAUUCAGCUUUUUUUUUUUAUUUUUUUUAUUUU